rnacentral:rRNA from 1 species
UGGCGGGACGGGGUGGAGUAAUGUCUGGGAAACUGCCUGAUGGAGGGGGGUAACUACUGGAAACGGUAGCUAAUACCGCAUAACGUCGCAAGACCAAAGAGGGGGACCUUCGGGCCUCUUGCCAUCGGAUGUGCCCAGAUGGGAUUAGCUAGUAGGUGGGGUAACGGCUCACCUAGGCGACGAUCCCUAGCUGGUCUGAGAGGAUGACCAGCCACACUGGAACUGAGACACGGUCCAG